GGAUAAAGAGGUUUAGUACAAAUGAAUGGUCAUCUGCGUCUGGUUAACAUCAGCCAAAUCUCAACAUCCCCGCAGUGACAACAUAUUCAGUGAGGCGCUUUUCUUGAGGAACUUAAGAGGUAGAUAAGGGGAUGCAUGCUGAUUACAGCGCAUUGCCACACCCACCACAGGGAUGAGAACCUGAGUGCAGCCAUGCAGUGGGUGAUACCUCAGCACCACGUUAGUCUGAAUGGACCAGUGUGAGUUUUUUCCGGAGGCUGGAGUGCCAAUCCUACCACCAACCCCCAAAUUUCCUGUAAGUUGGAGGACCUACUUACAGGGCUGGAUGAAGAUUAACGUCAGAGCUGGGCGGUGCACAAGCUCCUAAUUGCGGCAGAGCUGCUGCUGGGAGAGAUCCCAGACCAGCUGCUCUUCAGGAAGCCCUCACUGAAGUGGUCUAAUACCUUACUUCCUACUGACUCAAGGCAGGGACAUCAAGCAGAUCAGUUAUGGAGGUGGCUGAGGAUAAGGACCAGGGAGUGAAUGCCGUCAUGUCCUGUGAGGUCAUCACCUUGGAGAGCAAGCUCAGGUGUGACUUGCCGUUCGUGAAAUCGCUCGACAAGAGAGAUGAGGGAGUAGAGGCCAGGAACCCUAAGAGAAGCCACAGUGAACUGGUCUGCUUUCAACAUGAUCAUCUGGCACCUCCUGCUGGCUGCUGAAAUGACCUGCAAGCAUGAUCCCACACACAUACACUGAUUCACAGACACACCACUGUAGUACAAGCUCUGCUAUACUCUUUGACAAUCUAUCCCGUCUACUCUGUAGUGGUCUGUUAGAUCUGCACUUACACACCACCUCCAACAAUCAAAAUACACACACCUACUGGGCCAAGCUUAUUCAUCUUUCUGUAGAGUUUGACUAAAUGUAUGGGUAUUGAUUCUGGUAAAGCAUAUAUCUGCUUACAGUUUAAUCUUAACUGUGAUAGUGUUGAUGUAAACACAUUACAGCCUUAUAAACAUCUUUUAUAUCAUAUCAUUUGUGCUUUGAAGGUAUGGCUAAUUUUGUACUUUUGUAGUGUAAUUUUGUAUUUAUUAAUAUAAUUUUAAGAUACAUACUAGUUGUCAUGCCCACCUCGUGCGAUCCUCGUGUGUGCCACGCCCCCCUGAUCAUCCACGUGUGCUUCCCUGAUCGUAUCCA